UACGGGGGGGGCAAGCGUUGUUCGGAAUUACUGGGCGUAAAGGGCUCGUAGGCGGCCAACUAAGUCAGACGUGAAAUCCCUCGGCUUAACCGGGGAACUGCGUCUGAUACUGGAUGGCUUGAGAUUGGGAGAGGGAUGCGGAAUUCCAGGUGUAGCGGUAGAAAUGCGUAGAUAUCUGGAGGAACACCGGUGGCGAAGGCGGCAUCCUGGACCAACACUGACGCUGAGGAGCGAAAGCCAGGGGAGCAACGGG
rnacentral:rRNA from 1 species